GAAGUUUUCAGAGAUGAGAAUGUGCCUUCGGGAACUGUGAGACAGGUGCUGCAUGGCUGUCGUCAGCUCGUGUUGUGAAAUGUUGGGUUAAGUCCCGCAACGAGCGCAACCCUUAUCCUUUGUUGCCAGCGGUUAGGCCGGGAACUCAAAGGAGACUGCCAGUGAUAAACUGGAGGAAGGUGGGGAUGACGUCAAGUCAUCAUGGCCCUUACGACCAGGGCUACACACGUGCUACAAUGGCGCAUACAAAGAGAAGCGACCUCGCGAGAGCAAGCGGACCUCAUAAAGUGCGUCGUAGUCCGGAUUGGAGUCUGCAACUCGACUCCAUGAAGUCGGAAUCGCUAGUAAUCGUGGAUCAGAAUGCCACGGUGAAUACGUUCCCGGGCCUUGUACACACCGCCCGUCACACCAUGGGAGUGGGUUGCAAAAGAAGUAGGUAGCUUAACCUUCGGGAGGGCGCUUACCACUUUGUGAUUCAUGACUGGGGUGAAGUCGUAACAAGGUAACCGUAGGGGAACCUGCGGUUGGA
rnacentral:rRNA from 1 species